rnacentral:rRNA from 1 species
CCUACGGGGGGCAGCAGUGGGGAAUUUUUGUCAAUGGGGGAAACCCUGAACAAGCAACGCCGCGUGGAGGAUGAAGGCCUUCGGGUCGUAAACUCCUGUCGGAGGGGACGAAAGCGGUUGGGGUUAAUAACCUCAGUCGUUGACGGUACCCUAUGAGGAAGCCCCGGCUAACUCCGUGCCAGCAGCCGCGGU